GACGAACGCUGGCGGCGUGCCUAAUACAUGCAAGUCGAGCGAAUGGAUUAAGAGCUUGCUCUUAUGAAGUUAGCGGCGGACGGGUGAGUAACACGUGGGUAACCUGCCCAUAAGACUGGGACAACUCCGGGAAACCGGGGCUAAUACCGGAUAACAUUUUGAACCGCAUGGUUCGAAAUUGAAAGGCGGCUUCGGCUGUCACUUAUGGAUGGACCCGCGUCGUAUUAGCUAGUUGGUGAGGUAACGGCUCACCAAGGCAACGAUGCGUAGCCGACCUGAGAGGGUGAUCGGCCACACUGGGACUGAGACACGGCCCAGACUCCUACGGGAGGCAGCAGUAGGGAAUCUUCCGCAAUGGACGAAAGUCUGACGGAGCAACGCCGCGUGAGUGAUGAAGGCUUUCGGGUCGUAAAACUCUGUUGUUAGGGAAGAACAAGUGCUAGUUGAAUAAGCUGGCACCUUGACGGUACCUAACCAGAAAGCCACGGCUAACUACGUGCCAGCCGCCGCGGUAA
rnacentral:rRNA from 1 species